UACGUAGGGGGCGAGCGUUGUCCGGAUUUACUGGGCGUAAAGCGCGUAUAGGCGGCGACAUAAGUCGGGUGUGAAAGCCCGGGGCUCAACCCCGGGACGCCGCCCGAGACUGUGUGGCUUGAGGACGGAAGAGGGGCGUGGAAUUCCUGGUGUAGCGGUGAAAUGCGUAGAGAUCAGGAGGAACACCCGUGGCGAAGGCGGCGCCCUGGUCCGUCCCUGACGCUGAGACGCGAAAGCGCGGGGAGCGAACGGG
rnacentral:rRNA from 1 species